rnacentral:rRNA from 1 species
AGUGAACGCUGGCGGUAGGCCUAACACAUGCAAGUCGAACGGCAGCACAGGAGAGCUUGCUCUCUGGGUGGCGAGUGGCGGACGGGUGAGGAAUACAUCGGAAUCUACUUUUUCGUGGGGGAUAACGUAGGGAAACUUACGCUAAUACCGCAUACGACCUACGGGUGAAAGCAGGGGACCUUCGGGCCUUGCGCGAUUGAAUGAGCCGAUGUCGGAUGAGCUAGUUGGCGGGGUAAAGGCCCACCAAGGCGACGCUCCGUAGCUGGUCUGAGAGGAUGAUCAGCCACACUGGAACUGAGACACGGUCCAGACUCCUACGGGAGGCAGCAGUGGGGAAUAUUGGACAAUGGGCGCAAGCCUGAUCCAGCCAUACCGCGUGGGUGAAGAAGGCCUUCGGGUUGUAAAGCCCUUUUGUUGGGAAAGAAAUCCAGCUGGCUAAUACCCGGUUGGGAUGACGGUACCCAAAGAAUAAGCACCGGCUAACUUCGUGCCAGCCGCCGCAGUAA